rnacentral:rRNA from 1 species
UACGGAGGGUGCAAGCGUUGCUCGGAAUUAUUGGGCGUAAAGGGUUGGUAGGUGGUCUCAUUUGUCAGGGGUGAAAGCCUUGGGCUUAACCCAAGAAGUGCCCCUGAAACGGUGAGACUAGAGUACUGGAGAGGGUCGUGGAAUGCCCGGUGUAGCGGUGAAAUGCGUAGAGAUCGGGCGGAACACCAGAGGCGAAGGCGGCGACCUGGACAGUGACUGACACUCAACAACGAAAGCGUGGGGAGCAAACAGG